GAUGAACGCUGGCGGCGUGCCUAAUACAUGCAAGUCGAGCGAACAGACGAGGAGCUUGCUCCUCUGACGUUAGCGGCGGACGGGUGAGUAACACGUGGAUAACCUACCUAUAAGACUGGGAUAACUUCGGGAAACCGGAGCUAAUACCGUAUAAUAUAUUGAACCGCAUGGUUCAAUAGUGAAAGACGGUUUUGCUGUCACUUAUAGAUGGAUCCGCGCCGCAUUAGCUAGUUGGUAAGGUAACGGCUUACCAAGGCAACGAUGCGUAGCCGACCUGAGAGGGUGAUCGGCCACACUGGAACGGAGACACGGUCAAGACGCCUAAGGGAGGCAGCAGUAGGGAAUCUUACGCAAUGGGCGAAAGCCUGACGGAGCAACGCCGCGUGAGUGAUGAAGGUCUUCGGAUCGUAAAACUCGGUUAUGAGGGAAGAACAAAUGUGUAAGUAACUAUGCACGGCUUGACGGUACCGAAUCAGAAAGCCACGGCUAACUACGUG
rnacentral:rRNA from 1 species